rnacentral:tRNA from 1 species
GUCUUUUUAGUAUCAAAAAGUACAAGUGACUUCCAAUCACCAAGUCUUGGUUAAAGUCCAAGAAAAGAUA